AAUACCUUUUCCGUGAUGGUAGUAUUGGUGUCACUAACCCAAUCCGACAUUGCACUAUUUAAUGUCAGAUUUUUACAAAUAUCCGACAGUAAUUGGUGUUUCUUGUCGGUUUUUUACCACCAGCGAUAAUCCCUUUUGUAGUAGUGAUGCCUAGAGGGGAUAGCUGUUUUGUGGAUCAGGUAUAUCCAGGAUGUCCAGUGAUAGUAGGGUAUUAUUAUGCCGGCUAAUCUUAUGUUGUUGGAUAUUAGGGAUUUUGAUGUGAUUUUGGGCACUUAUUA
rnacentral:lncRNA from 1 species